UACGUAGGGUGCGAGCGUUAAUCGGAAUUACUGGGCGUAAAGCGUGCGCAGGCGGUUCGCUGUGUCCUGUGUGAAAGCCCCGGGCUUAACCUGGGAAUGGCAUGGGAAACUGGCGGGCUGGAGUGUGGCAGAGGGGGGUGGAAUUCCGCGUGUAGCAGUGAAAUGCGUAGAGAUGCGGAGGAACACCGAUGGCGAAGGCAGCCCCCUGGGCUAACACUGACGCUCAGGCACGAAAGCGUGGGGAGCAAGACGG
rnacentral:rRNA from 1 species